AUGGCGCCCCCCGCCGUUGCCGUCCGGCCCUUCGCCCUGACGGGCUCGCCGCGCUCCGUCCACCCCGACUGGGUCUUACUCAACAAGACAGGCCGCAUCUCCGACGACCGGUACGAGACCACGGCCGGGUGCCGCACGCCGGAGGGCCAGGCCGUCGAGGUGUCCUUCUGCCUCGCCGACCCGCCGGGCGUCUCCCACUUCUCCGUCCACUGCCCCGGCCUCGAAGGCGACGACUACUCCGACACCCCGCCCUUGCUCAUCUGCGCCGAGGGGGCCUUCGUGGUCUUCUGCGUAACCCUCAACGUCCCCGAGUGGGGCUCCGUCCACCACUUCGUCUACUCCGCGCGCGGCCCGUCCGGCAACCGCCCGUCGCUGCACCUGCUCCCGGAGCCGGACCCUGAGGUCCCAGCCUUCCAGACCCAGCAGUUCGGCAUCCUGCCCUGCGGCGGCGGCCACUUCGCCGUGGCUUUCCUCGAUCGCAACUGGAUUGACCGUCGUGACUGCUGGGAGUAUCACGCCUACGUCUUCUCCUCCACCACGCGGGCAUGGAGCAGAACCAAGCCGUCCAUGCCGCGCUUGUCCGACUCUGACAAAGAGUUGCUCGAUAGGCAUUACAGCUGCAAGCAGAUCACUGUCGGAGCAAGCUCGCUGGGCUGGGUUGAUCUCUUGUGUGGCGUUCUAGUCCUCUGCAACCUCUUCGACAAGCGUCCCGUCAUCAAGUACAUCCCGUUCCCCGCGUCCAGGGUUCCCCUCGGAGGACGGUGUCGCGGACAUCGCCGCGGAACAUCUAUGCGAUGUCUCAUCCUGCGGCGAUCUCAUCAAGUUUGUCCAGAUAGAUUUCAAUGA
rnacentral:rRNA from 1 species